AACGAACGCUGGCGGCAGGCUUAACACAUGCAAGUCGAACGCCCCGCAAGGGGAGUGGCAGACGGGUGAGUAACGCGUGGGAACGUGCCCUUCGCUUCGGAAUAGCCCCGGGAAACUGGGAGUAAUACCGAAUACGCCGUAUUGGGAAAGAUUUAUCGGCGAAGGAUCGGCCCGCGUUAGAUUAGCUAGUUGGCGGUGUAAUGGACCACCAAGGCUACGAUCUAUAGCUGGUCUGAGAGGAUGAUCAGCCACACUGGGACUGAGACACGGCCCAGACUCCUACGGGAGGCAGCAGUGGGGAAUCUUGGACAAUGGGCGCAAGCCUGAUCCAGCCAUGCCGCGUGAGUGAAGAAGGCCGUAGGGUUGUAAAACUCUUUCGCCGGAGAAGAUAAUGACGGUAUCCGGAGAAGAAGCCCCGGCUAACUUCGUGCCAGCCGCCGCCGUAACAC
rnacentral:rRNA from 1 species